rnacentral:rRNA from 1 species
UACAGAGGGUGCAAGCGUUGUUCGGAAUUAUUGGGCGUAAAGGGCAGGUAGGUUGUCUUUCAAGACCGCUGUGAAAUCCCUGGGCUUAACCCAGGAAGUGCGGCGGUGACUGAGAGACUAGAGUGUCGGAGGGGUUCGUGGAAUACCCGGUGUAGCGGUGAAAUGCGUAGAUAUCGGGUGGAACACCAGAGGCGAAGGCGGCGAACUGGACGACAACUGACACUAAACUGCGAAAGCGUGGGGAGCAAACAGG